rnacentral:rRNA from 1 species
AGCGGCGGACGGGUGAGUAACACGUGGGUAACCUGCCUGAUAGACCGGGAUAACGCUUGGAAACGAGUGCUGAUACCGGAUAGGCUCCUUGACCGCAUGGUCUUGGAGGGAAAGAGGCUUCUGCCUCACUGUCAGAUGGACCCGCGGCGCAUUAGCUAGUUGGUGGGGUAACGGCCCACCAAGGCGACGAUGCGUAGCCGACCUGAGAGGGUGACCGGCCACACUGGGACUGAGACACGGCCCAGACUCCUACGGGAGGCAGCAGUAGGGAAUCUUCCACAAUGGGCGCAAGCCUGAUGGAGCAACGCCGCGUGAGUGAUGACGGCCUUCGGGUUGUAAAACUCUGUCUUCUGUGACGAACAAGUGCGUGAUUGGAAUGCUCGCACCCUGACGGUAACA